UACGGGGGGGGCAAGCGUUGUUCGGAAUUACUGGGCGUAAAGGGCUCGUAGGCGGCCAACUAAGUCAGACGUGAAAUCCCUCGGCUUAACCGGGGAACUGCGUCUGAUACUGGAUGGCUCGAGUUUGGGAGAGGGAUGCGGAAUUCCAGGUGUAGCGGUGAAAUGCGUAGAUAUCUGGAGGAACACCGGUGGCGAAGGCGGCAUCCUGGACCGACACUGACGCUGAGGAGCGAAAGCCAGGGGAGCAAACGGG
rnacentral:rRNA from 1 species